rnacentral:rRNA from 1 species
UCUCAGCAGAAGCUUUCGGGUGGACGCAGGGAUAACUUAGUGGCGAACGGGUGAGUAACACGUGAGGAACCUGCCCUGGAGUGGGGGACAACAGUUGGAAACGACUGCUAAUACCGCAUAAGCCCACAGCACCGCAUGGUGCAUCGGGAAAAGGAGCAAUUCGCUUCAGGAUGGCCUCGCGUCCGAUUAGGUAGAUGGUGAGGUAACGGCCCACCAUGCCGACGAUUGGUAGCCGGACUGAGAGGUUGAACGGCCACAUUGGGACUGAGACACGGGCCAGACUCCUACGGGAGGCAGCAGUGGGGAAUAUUGCACAAUGGGGGAAACCCUGAUGCAGCGACGCCGCGUGGAGG